rnacentral:rRNA from 1 species
CAUGGAGGGUGAGAAUCCCGUUCGGUUGACCUCAGGAUGUUUUACGAUACGCUUUCAAAGAGUCGAGUUGUUUGGGAUUGCAGCUCUAAAUGGGAGGUAAAUUUCUCCUAAGGCUAAAUACCGGCGAGAGACCGAUAGCGAACAAGUACCGUGAGGGAAAGAUGAAAAGAACUUUGAAAAGAGAGUUAAAUAGUACGUGAAAUUGUUGAAAGGGAAACGAUUGAAGCCAGUCGUACUUGCGGGCAAUCAGCCUUUUGGGUGUGAUUAUGUGGAGCGUGAGGAGUUAAUCGCCUUCAUCUUUGCAUAUUCGUGCACUUUGGGUGUAUUUGCUCGUGUGGUAGGUUAACAUCAAUUUUGGUCAUCAUAAAAUGACUGGGGGAAUGUAGCUUCGAUUUUUCGAAGUGUUAUAGCCCUUGGUAGAUGUGACGACCGGGAUUGAGGAUUGCAACGAAUGCUUUCGGGCUAUCCGUCUGACCUCUGGUGGUUGCUUUGGAGUCGAAAGCUUGCUUACGAUUUUAAAGUUAGCUGCCAAAAGGCUAGAACGUGAUUAAAUUCGUUAAGGAUGUUGACGUAAUGG